rnacentral:rRNA from 1 species
UUAAGCGACUAAGCGUACACCGGUGGAUGCCCUGGCAGUCAGAGGCGAUGAAGGACGUGCUAAUCUGCGAUAAGCGUCGGUAAGGUGAUAUGAACCGUUAUAACCGGCGAUUUCCGAAUGGGGAAACCCAGUGUGUUUCGACACACUAUCAUUAACUGAAUCCAUAGGUUAACGAGGCGAACCGGGGGAACUGAAACAUCUAAGUACCCCGAGGAAAAGAAAUCAACCGAGAUUCCCCCAGUAGCGGCGAGCGAACGGGGAGCAGCCCAGAGCCUGAAUCAGUGUGUGUGUUAGUGGAAGCGUCUGGAAAGGCGCGCGAUACAGGGUGACAGCCCCGUACACAAAAAUGCACAUGCUGUGAGCUCGAUGAGUAGGGCGGGACACGUGGUAUCCUGUCUGAAUAUGGGGGGACCAUCCUCCAAGGCUAAAUACUCCUGACUGACCGAUAGUGAACCAGUACCGUGAGGGAAAGGCGAAAAGAACCCCGGCGAGGGGAGUGAAAAAGAACCUGAAACCGUGUACGUACAAGCAGUGGGAGCACGCUUAGGCGUGUGACUGCGUACCUUUUGUAUAAUGGGUCAGCGACUUAUAUUCUGUAGCAAGGUUAACCGAAUAGGGGAUCCGAAGGGAAACCGAGUCUUAACUGGGCGUUAAGUUGCAGGGUAUAGACCCGAAACCCGGUGAUCUAGCCAUGGGCAGGUUGAAGGUUGGGUAACACUAACUGGAGGACCGAACCGACUAAUGUUGAAAAAUAGCGGAUGACUUGUGGCUGGGGGUGAAAGGCCAAUCAAACCGGGAGAUAGCUGGUUCUCCCCGAAAGCUAUUUAGGUAGCGCCUCGUGAAUUCAUCUCCGGUGGUAGAGCACUGUUUCGGCAAGGGGGUCAUCCCGACUUACCAACCCGAUGCAAACUGCGAAUACCGGAGAAUGUUAUCACGGGAGACACACGGCGGGUGCUAACGUCCGUCGUGAAGAGGGAAACAACCCAGACCGCCAGCUAAGGUCCCAAAGUCAUGGUUAAGUGGGAAACGAUGUGGGAAGGCCCAGACAGCCAGGAUGUUGGCUUAGAAGCAGCCAUCAUUUAAAGAAAGCGUAAUAGCUCACUGGUCGAGUCGGCCUGCGCGGAAGAUGUAACGGGGCUAAACCAUGCACCGAAGCUGCGGCAGCGACGCUGAUGCGUUGUUGGGUAGGGGAGCGUUCUGUAAGCCUGCGAAGGUGUGCUGUGAGGCAUGCUGGAGGUAUCAGAAGUGCGAAUGCUGACAUAAGUAACGAUAAAGCGGGUGAAAAGCCCGCUCGCCGGAAGACCAAGGGUUCCUAUCCAACGUUAAUCGGGGCAGGGUGAGUCGACCCCUAAGGCGAGGCCGAAAGGCGUAGUCGAUGGGAAACAGGUUAAUAUUCCUGUACUUGGUGUUACUGCGAAGGGGGGACGGAGAAGGCUAUGUUGGCCGGGCGACGGUUGUCCCGGUUUAAGCGUGUAGGCUGGUUUUCCAGGCAAAUCCGGAAAAUCAAGGCUGAGGCGUGAUGACGAGGCACUACGGUGCUGAAGCAACAAAUGCCCUGCUUCCAGGAAAAGCCUCUAAGCAUCAGGUAACAUCAAAUCGUACCCCAAACCGACACAGGUGGUCAGGUAGAGAAUACCAAGGCGCUUGAGAGAACUCGGGUGAAGGAACUAGGCAAAAUGGUGCCGUAACUUCGGGAGAAGGCACGCUGAUAUGUAGGUGAAGCGACUUGCUCGUGGAGCUGAAAUCAGUCGAAGAUACCAGCUGGCUGCAACUGUUUAUUAAAAACACAGCACUGUGCAAACACGAAAGUGGACGUAUACGGUGUGACGCCUGCCCGGUGCCGGAAGGUUAAUUGAUGGGGUUAGCGCAAGCGAAGCUCUUGAUCGAAGCCCCGGUAAACGGCGGCCGUAACUAUAACGGUCCUAAGGUAGCGAAAUUCCUUGUCGGGUAAGUUCCGACCUGCACGAAUGGCGUAAUGAUGGCCAGGCUGUCUCCACCCGAGACUCAGUGAAAUUGAACUCGCUGUGAAGAUGCAGUGUACCCGCGGCAAGACGGAAAGACCCCGUGAACCUUUACUAUAGCUUGACACUGAACAUUGAGCCUUGAUGUGUAGGAUAGGUGGGAGGCUUUGAAGUGUGGACGCCAGUCUGCAUGGAGCCGACCUUGAAAUACCACCCUUUAAUGUUUGAUGUUCUAACGUUGACCCGUAAUCCGGGUUGCGGACAGUGUCUGGUGGGUAGUUUGACUGGGGCGGUCUCCUCCUAAAGAGUAACGGAGGAGCACGAAGGUUGGCUAAUCCUGGUCGGACAUCAGGAGGUUAGUGCAAUGGCAUAAGCCAGCUUGACUGCGAGCGUGACGGCGCGAGCAGGUGCGAAAGCAGGUCAUAGUGAUCCGGUGGUUCUGAAUAGAAGGGCCAUCGCUCAACGGAUAAAAGGUACUCCGGGGAUAACAGGCUGAUACCGCCCAAGAGUUCAUAUCGACGGCGGUGUUUGGCACCUCGAUGUCGGCUCAUCACAUCCUGGGGCUGAAGUAGGUCCCAAGGGUAUGGCUGUUCGCCAUUUAAAGUGGUACGCGAGCUGGGUUUAGAACGUCGUGAGACAGUUCGGUCCCUAUCUGCCGUGGGCGCUGGAGAACUGAGGGGGGCUGCUCCUAGUACGAGAGGACCGGAGUGGACGCAUCACUGGUGUUCGGGUUGUCAUGCCAAUGGCACUGCCCGGUAGCUAAAUGCGGAAGAGAUAAGUGCUGAAAGCAUCUAAGCACGAAACUUGCCCCGAGAUGAGUUCUCCCUGACCCUUUAAGGGUCCUGAAGGAACGUUGAAGACGACGACGUUGAUAGGCCGGGUGUGUAAGCGCAGCGAUGCGUUGAGCUAACCGGUACUAAUGAACCGUGAGGCUUAACCUU